UACCAGCACCCGAGUGGUCGGACGAUUAUUGGGCCUAAAGCAUCCGUAGCCGGUUUACAAGUCCUCCGUUAAUCCAGCUGCUUAACAGAUGGCUGCGGAAGAUACUAUAGAGCUAGGAGGCGGAGAGGCAAGCGGUACUUAGUGGGUAGGGUAAAUCCGUUGAUCCAUGAAGACCACCAGUGGCGAAGGCGGCUUGCCAGAACGCACUCGACGGUGAGGGAUGAAAGCUGG
rnacentral:rRNA from 1 species